GUGAAUAUAAUUUAACUUAAAAUUCUAGUCUGUGACUCUAGGAAUGGAAACUAGCUACUUCCUAUUCACC
rnacentral:tRNA from 1 species